CUGAGGCGUGAUGACGAGGCACUACGGUGCUGAAGCGACAAAUGCCCUGCUUCCAGGAAAAGCCUCUAAGCAUCAGGUAACAUCAAAUCGUACCCCAAACCGACACAGGUGGUCAGGUAGAGAAUACCAAGGCGCUUGAGAGAACUCGGGUGAAGGAACUAGGCAAAAUGGUGCCGUAACUUCGGGAGAAGGCACGCUGAUAUGUAGGUGAAGCGACUUGCUCGUGGAGCUGAAAUCAGUCGAAGAUACCAGCUGGCUGCAACUGUUUAUUAAAAACACAGCACUGUGCAAACACGAAAGUGGACGUAUACGGUGUGACGCCUGCCCGGUGCCGGAAGGUUAAUUGAUGGGGUUAGCGGUAACGCGAAGCUCUUGAUCGAAGCCCCGGUAAACGGCGGCCGUAACUAUAACGGUCCUAAGGUAGCGAAAUUCCUUGUCGGGUAAGUUCCGACCUGCACGAAUGGCGUAAUGAUGGCCAGGCUGUCUCCACCCGAGACUCAGUGAAAUUGAACUCGCUGUGAAGAUGCAGUGUACCCGCGGCAAGACGGAAAGACCCCGUGAACCUUUACUAUAGCUUGACACUGAACAUUGAGCCUUGAUGUGUAGGAUAGGUGGGAGGCUUUGAAGUGUGGACGCCAGUCUGCAUGGAGCCGACCUUGAAAUACCACCCUUUAAUGUUUGAUGUUCUAACGUGGGCCCCUUACCGGGGUUGCGGACAGUGUCUGGUGGGUAGUUUGACUGGGGCGGUCUCCUCCUAAAGAGUAACGGAGGAGCACGAAGGUUGGCUAAUCCUGGUCGGACAUCAGGAGGUUAGUGCAAUGGCAUAAGCCAGCUUGACUGCGAGCGUGACGGCGCGAGCAGGUGCGAAAGCAGGUCAUAGUGAUCCGGUGGUUCUGAAUGGAAGGGCCAUCGCUCAACGGAUAAAAGGUACUCCGGGGAUAACAGGCUGAUACCGCCCAAGAGUUCAUAUCGACGGCGGUGUUUGGCACCUCGAUGUCGGCUCAUCACAUCCUGGGGCUGAAGUAGGUCCCAAGGGUAUGGCUGUUCGCCAUUUAAAGUGGUACGCGAGCUGGGUUUAGAACGUCGUGAGACAGUUCGGUCCCUAUCUGCCGUGGGCGCUGGAGAACUGAGGGGGGCUGCUCCUAGUACGAGAGGACCGGAGUGGACGCAUCACUGGUGUUCGGGUUGUCAUGCCAAUGGCACUGCCCGGUAGCUAAAUGCGGAAGAGAUAAGUGCUGAAAGCAUCUAAGCACGAAACUUGCCCCGAGAUGAGUUCUCCCUGACUCCUUGAGAGUCCUGAAGGAACGUUGAAGACGACGACGUUGAUAGGCCGGGUGUGUAAGCGCAGCGAUGCGUUGAGCUAACCGGUACUAAUGAACCGUGAGGCUUAACCUUACAACGCCGAAG
rnacentral:rRNA from 1 species